rnacentral:rRNA from 1 species
UACAGAGGGUGCAAGCGUUGUUCGGAAUCACUGGGCGUAAAGGGCGCGUAGGCGGAUCUUUAAGUCGGGGGUGAAAGCCUGAGGCUCAACCUCAGAAUUGCCUUCGAUACUGGAGAUCUUGAGACCGGAAGAGGUAAGUGGAACUGCGAGUGUAGAGGUGAAAUUCGUAGAUAUUCGCAAGAACACCAGUGGCGAAGGCGGCUUACUGGUCCGGUUCUGACGCUGAGGCGCGAAAGCGUGGGGAGCAAACAGG